AGAACGAACGCUGGCGGCAUGCCUAACACAUGCAAGUCGGACGCUUUCGGGGGUUUCGGCCUCCGAUGGAGUGGCGGACGGGUGAGUAGCGCGUGGGAACCUGCCCCUUUGUGGGGGAUAACCGAGGGAAACUUCGGCUAAUACCGCAUGCGCCCGGGGGUAACUCCGGGGAAAGAUUUAUCGCAGAGGGAGGGGCCCGCGUCGGAUUAGGUAGUUGGUGGGGUAACGGCCUACCAAGCCUGUGAUCCGUAGCUGGUCUGAGAGGAUGAUCAGCCACACUGGGACUGAGACACGGCCCAGACUCCUACGGGAGGCAGCAGUGGGGAAUAUUGGACAAUGGGCGCAAGCCUGAUCCAGCAAUGCCGCGUGAGUGAUGAAGGCCUUAGGGUUGUAAAGCUCUUUCGGCGGGGACGAUGAUGACGGUACCCGCAGAAGAAGCCCCGGCUAACUUCGUGCCAGCAGCCGC
rnacentral:rRNA from 1 species